rnacentral:pre_miRNA from 1 species
ACCAUGCAACCUCCGUCCGGAAAUACUUGUCAUUAUAAUGGAUAAAAGGGGAUGUAUCUAGAUGUAUUUUAGUUCUAGAUAUAUAUUUUUUUAUCCAUUUUGAUGACAAGUAUCUUGGACCUUGGAGACGUAGUACACA